AGUCAUUCAUUCGAAAAGCCAUAGGGUUUCUCACUACAUUACCUAAAGGGAAAUCUGCAGCUGCUGCGCUGUGGUAUGCAUGGGAAUGCCGGUAGAUUGUGACUUCGGAUUGGCAUCGUUCUCGG
rnacentral:lncRNA from 1 species